rnacentral:rRNA from 1 species
GCCAGCGGCGAUAGCACGUUGAAUACACCAGUCCCCAAUGGAUCACUGAAGUUAAACGUUGCGCGUGGUUGGCAUGCGGAUGGGUGACCAUCUGGGCAAUUGCGUGCUGCUGGCU